UACAACUUCAAGGUUGUUCAUUUCUACAUAUAUUCAUCUCACAUUUUUCAACUCCAAGAAAACACACAACAACAAAACAAGUUCACACGUCUGCAUGGAUCUCUUAGCCUCCACUGAUAUCACUCUCAUUACUCUUCUUUUCCUCCCUACUAAAGUAAACGAGAACAACUUGAUCCAGAUGUACAACGUGCUUUGCUCGAUCGGUCAACUACCGUAGUUUUCUUGGUUAAUGAGGCAUUGGUAUUCGACUCUAUGCCCAAAAAGAGAAGGAAAAGUUUGAAGUGAAUAACCAAGUUAUCUCAGAAUUUGUGAAUGACUUGAAUGUGAAUCACAUGUCUAGAAUUGGAAUUCUGUAUUCUGAGAGUUUGUAGAAGGAAUUCCUAUGAUAUUUCCCCACUUCAUUGCUAACAUACCCUACAUUCACUAUGUUGUUGUCUAAAUUAGUUUCCAUUAAAACAAUAUCAAUUAGUAGUGUUGCAUUGAAUCCGUUCA